AUACGUAGGUCCCGAGCGUUGUCCGGAUUUAUUGGGCGUAAAGCGAGCGCAGGCGGUUUGAUAAGUCUGAAGUUAAAGGCUGUGGCUCAACCAUAGUUCGCUUUGGAAACUGUCAAACUUGAGUGCAGAAGGGGAGAGUGGAAUUCCAUGUGUAGCGGUGAAAUGCGUAGAUAUAUGGAGGAACACCGGUGGCGAAAGCGGCUCUCUGGUCUGUAACUGACGCUGAGGCUCGAAAGCGUGGGGAGCGAACAGGAUUAGGUACCCUGGUAGUCCACGCCGUAAACGAUGAGUGCUAGGUGUUGGAUCCUUUCCGGGAUUCAGUGCCGCAGCUAACGCAUUAAGCACUCCGCCUGGGGAGUACGGUCACAAGACUAAA
rnacentral:rRNA from 1 species